CCGCCACGGACGGCGGUGGUUUCAGCCAGCCGCGAGUUUUUCGUUAGAAAAACUCGUCGUUGAAAAGUGUACACGGAGGUACGCUGUUCAACA
rnacentral:sRNA from 1 species